rnacentral:lncRNA from 1 species
ACCAGUUUUGCAGAAGCAAGUGUUCCUAAAAAAUCAUCAAUUUUAAUUCUUCAGCAGAAAUUACUGUAGCAAUCACUUCGGGCGUGAAUCACUCAAAACAGAUCUCCAAGAGCCAGUCUAACGUCAAAGUAUCCAAAUUCAUAUGGUCAACUUUUGCAGAAUCAUUUCCAUGCACCAACCAAGCAUGCAUGAUCUCGGCCUUCCAUUUUCCCACAAAAAAACAACAACCGACCGCCAUUCUCACAAAAAGACCCGCCGUUUUAUAUCCCCCCCUCCACGGACAAGAGAAAACAAAAAUCCUCCGCCGACCAUCAACACUCUCUCAAAGACAUAUAUACAGAGAAGGAGAGUAAGAUAGGAGGGUUGGAACCAAUCUCUCUUAUUUUUACACAGACCAUCCAUCUUUUUUUUAAAAAAAAAAAAGGACUAUGUCCAUAGCCACCACACACACCACCUUCCUCUCCAUUGUCCACUAUAGCAUCACUUUCCCUUAACAACACCACCAAUAGCGAGCACAACCAAACCAACAAUAACAAAGGAAACCCAUGGAAACUCUCACGGUGACGGCAACCAGAUUUAGCUACAUCAACCUAACAACAGCCUCACUCAUCUCCACUGUCACCACCACCAUACACCCUGCCACCAUUGAUCGCCAUCAACGCUAGAAGCUCCCUCAUCCUCUCUCCUCGACACCCGAACUCUAAACCAAUAGCCUAUUUUCUUUCUUCCAAUUCGUUCGACAAUAGACAGCUCCACCAACCACCUAGACAGAAUCCAAUAGCAUCCGUAGGUGACGACGACACCACAACAACAAACCAUAUAGUGAGAAGAUCAGAUGAGAGAAGGAAAUGAGAAGCCUGAAACUUUAGACGCCCCGAUCUCUCUCCUGGGGCAACAACAACUCCAACUAUAGGCCCAAGCAUGAAGAGGGAGAAAAAGACUACCCGCACUGUUCUUCUGAUAUUCAGGUCACCAAAGUGUGAUUCCAUGCACCACUAAUCAUAGCCAAAACUUUUUUGUUUGAUUCCAGUAGCUCCAAACCACUACUAACAUCCCGGAAGCUCAAUUGCAAACAAUGAGUUAAUUUUCAACAAUUUUUAAUGGUAAUUUGUGUGUUUUUGUUAAUUUGUUUGUUAAAUUAGUUUGUUGAUUUAGUUUGAUGAUUUUUUUUUAGGAUAUUGACUUAUUGAGG